GGGCCUAUAGGUAAGUGGCAUACCGCACCCUUCGCAUGGGUGAGUCUCGAGUUCAAUUCUCGAUAGGUCCA
rnacentral:tRNA from 2 species